rnacentral:lncRNA from 1 species
AUCCUUCUGCUCCUUUUCAAUAGUUGGUGGAUAAGAGCUGGAUGUUCCAACAUCCUAAAAUAAAAAAAUAAAAUAUUAUUAAUAAGUUUGAUGUAAAGAUGUAUCUUUCGAUAUACUCCUUCGAUUCUCAAACAAAUUAUUCUUAUAUUUUCUUAUUCGAUGAUAUGAAACUAUAGACACCCCCGAUCCAUCAAUUGGAUGGUUAGAUUAAAUUUUUAGUCCCUAAAUCUCCUUUUCCGACU